rnacentral:rRNA from 1 species
GAGUUUGAUCUUGGCUCAGAACGAACGCUGGCGGCAUGCCUAACACAUGCAAGUCGAGCGAUCUUCUUCGGAAGAGAGCGGCGGACGGGUGAGUAACGCGUGGGUAACCUGCCCUGUACACACGGAUAACAUACCGAAAGGUAUGCUAAUACGGGAUAACAUAAGAAAUUCGCAUGUUUUUCUUAUCAAAGCUCCGGCGGUACAGGAUGGACCCGCGUCUGAUUAGCUAGUUGGUGAGGUAACGGCUCACCAAGGCGACGAUCAGUAGCCGACCUGAGAGGGUGAUCGGCCACAUUGGAACUGAGACACGGUCCAAACUCCUACGGGAGGCAGCAGUGGGGAAUAUUGCACAAUGGGCGAAAGCCUGAUGCAGCAACGCCGCGUGAGCGAUGAAGGCCUUC